AGGCAAAAACCUGACUACUCCCAGGAGAGCCUGUGCCAGAACGAAGGACCACACCCCAUGGUCACUCCCCGGAGCAGUUGCUAGAAGCCACAGCUUUCACAGAAAGUCACUGUGGCCUGGGGGACAUGGUCAACAGUCAAAGCCAAACAUGAAGGCUGAGGGGAUCUUAUACUACAAGAGGCAGGGCCCUCCAGAAAUGGCUGGACCUCCAGGAAGACUGUGAAGAGUUCCAGGAAGGAGAAUUGAA